AUUUAUUUAUACAGCAUCAAAGUUAACAGCUAAUGGAUACACAUAGUUAAAGUCUUGCAGAUAGAGAAAUACUGAUACAUUAGAUUUUGAGAGCCCUGCCUGCAAAUGAUAAAACACAUGUAUUAACCCCUUAAGGACUGGACUGUUUUUGCGAUGUUGUACAUUUGCGACCAGGCAUAUUUUUACACUUUUGUGGUGUUUGUGUUUGGCUGUAAUUUUCCGCUUUCUCAUUUACUGUUCCCAUACAAAUUAUAUAUUGUUUUUUCAGGACAAAAGGGGCUUUCUUUACAUACCAUUAUUUAUAUAAUCUCAUGUAUUUUAAUUUAAAAAAAAUACAAAAAUCUGAUGAAAAAUUGAAAAAAUACAUGUUUUUUGACUUUUACUUGAAAAAUCUUUUACUCAUCUACAAAAGCGAAUGAAAAAAACUGCUAAAUAGAUUCCAAAUUUUGUCCUGAGUUUAAAAAUACCCAGUGUUUACGUGCUUUUUUGCUUUUUUUUGCAUGUUAUAGGGCUAUAGGUACAAGUAGGAUAUUGCAGUUUCAAAACAUAAUUUUUAAAAUUUAUCAAUAGUGACAUUGUAACACUAUUAUCUGUCAUAAAUCUCUGAAUAACACCCCACAUGUACAUAUUUUUUUUAAAGUAGACAACCCAGGGUAUUCAAUAUGGGGUAUGUCCAGUCUUUUUUAGUAGCCACUUAGUCGAAAACACUGGCCAAAGUAAGCAUUCAUAUUUGUUUGUGUGUGAAAAAAGUAAAAAAACUAAAUUGAACGCUAAUUUUGGACCAAGUGGUUACUAAAAAAGACUGGACAUACCCCAUUUGUAAUACCUUGGGUUGUCUUCUUUUGCAAAUGGUAUGCCAUCAUGGGGGUAAUUCUCAUUCCUGGGCUACCAUACGCUCUCAAAGGCAACGUAACCAACCUGGCCAUUUUCAAUGUAAAAAUAUUUGACCCAUAUAUUUGACCUUGUAACUUUCAAAAAUGCUAUAAAACCUGUACAUGGGGGGUACUGUUUUACUCGGGAGACAUCGCUGAACACAAAUAUUAGUGUUUAAAAACUGGAAAACGUAUCACAACAAUUAUAUCAUCAGUAAAACUGCUGUUUGUGUGUGAAAAAUGCAAAAAAAGUAACUUUCACUGACAAUAUCAUCGCUGUGAUAUGUUUUACUGUUUGAAUCACUAAUAUUUGUGUUCAGCGAAGUCUCCCGAGUAAAACAGUACCCCCCAUGUACAGGUUUUAGGGUGUCGUAGAACGUUACAGGGUAAAAUACAGUGCUAGCAAAUUAAAUUCUCUGGAAUUUCGGCCUGGGUUGGCAGGCAGGUCCCUCAAAUUGCAAUCAAUAAAAUUACUGAAUUAUGUAAAAAUAUUACAUAAAUACGCACGUAGAAUUUAAAUAUAUAUGCAUAUUUAUAUAUUUGAAGUCUACGUGUAUAUUUAUAUAAUUAUUUAUGUAAUUUUGUAUAUGGACGUAUGUAUAUUUCUUAUUAUUUUUAUUUAUUUUUAUAUACAUAGAUAUAUAUACAAAUUCAUUCUAAGUGUAUUUUGAUAUAAAUAUAUAUAUAUUAAUUUUAAAAUACAGUUAGAAUAAAAUUUCAUAUAGAUAUAUAAUUUUUUUUUAAUUUUUUAUUAUUAUUUUAAAUUUUUUUUAUUUAAUUUAAAUUACUUAUUUAUAUUUUAUAAUAAUAUAUAUAUACACAAUAUAUAUAGUUAUUAUAUAUAUAUAUAUAUUAUAUAUAUACACGUGUGUAAUUUAAUUAUAAGUGUAUUUUUAUAUUAAUAUAAGUACAUAUUAAUAUAAAAAUACAUUUAGUAUGACAUAUAUAUAUAUAUGAUAUAUAGACAUAUAUUAUAUAGGUAUAAUAUAUGUCUAUAUAUCAUAUAUACACAUAUAUAAUUAUUUUUAUUUUUUUUAUUAACACUAACUUUAAUUUAUUUUUUGAUUUUACACAUGCAGGGAGACUGCCUGUCAGCACAGACAGUCCCCCUGCAGGCAGCACUAUGGACACCUAUUGUGACCAUGUGAUCGCUGUGUUAAGCGAUCACAUGGCCACAGGGGUCCUAAUCUGCCGUGGGGAGACUGUCUGGGCUGCAGGCAGUCUCCCCACAACCGGAGCCACGCUGAUCGCCGCCGGGGGAACGACGGCGAUCAGGUAAGUAGCUCUGACCGUUAGGACGGUUCAGGACCGUCAUCGGUCGGCAACGCAAAAAUGCCGAUGACGGUCCUGAACCGUCCUCGGUCCUUAAGGGGUUAAUAAAGCAAGAAACUAGCUAUUAAACCAUAACAAGUCACCAAGUUCGGUCAACAGUGCAACACACAUAGUUAACAUAGUCUAUUGUAAUUCUUAAAAAGCAGCUGUAACAGUGUGUCCUAAUAGGUACAAAAUACAGUUGGUGUCGCAGUUUAGGUUAGUGGAUACUCUCAUAUUUGUUACAUUUGACAUGGAUAAACAUUUACACAAACUUCAUGUCCUGAGAAGUUGACAGACUUUUUUGUGAUUAUUAUAUUUUGUUUGUUUGUUUUAAUUCUUAAAAAUACACUUUAUACAGGCCACAUAAAUGGAGAUACAGAGUAAUAUGAGCAGGGCAGUGGAUUGCUACGUAUGGGGUCUCUUACUUGUCACCUGAGAUGGAUUAAAUAUUAAAGUAGCAAUUUGAAAAACACAACAAAGAAGUUCUCGCUUAAUAGAGCAAGAAUCAGCAAUAGUGAUGUCCCGAACGGUUCGCCAUG